rnacentral:rRNA from 1 species
UAGGGAGUCUUCCACAAUGGACGCAAGUCUGAUGGAGCAACGCCGCGUGAGUGAAGAAGGUCUUCGGAUCGUAAAGCUCUGUUGUUGGUGAAGAAGGAUAGAGGCAGUAACUGGUCUUUAUUUGACGGUAAUCAACCAGAAAGUCACGGCUAACUACGUGCCAGCAGCCGCGGUAAUACGUAGGUGGCAAGCGUUGUCCGGAUUUAUUGGGCGUAAAGCGAGCGCAGGCGGAAUGAUAAGUCUGAUGUGAAAGCCCACGGCUCAACCGUGGAACUGCAUCGGAAACUGUCAUUCUUGAGUGCAGAAGAGGAGAGUGGAACUCCAUGUGUAGCGGUGGAAUGCGUAGAUAUAUGGAAGAACACCAGUGGCGAAGGCGGCUCUCUGGUCUGCAACUGACGCUGAGGCUCGAAAGCAUGGGUAGCGAACAGGAUUAGAUACCCUGGUAGUCCAUGCCGUAAACGAUGAGCGCUAGGUAUUGGGGCACUUUCCGGUCCUCAGUGCCGCAGCAA